UACGUAGGCAGCAAGCGUUGUUCGGAGUUACUGGGCGUAAAGGGUGUGUAGGCGGUUCUUUAAGUUUGGUGUGAAAUCUCCCGGCUCAACCGGGAGGGUGCGCCGAAUACUGAGGGACUAGAGUGUGGGAGAGGAAAGUGGAAUUCCUGGUGUAGCGGUGAAAUGCGUAGAUAUCAGGAGGAACACCGGUGGUGUAGACGGCUUUCUGGACCAUAACUGACGCUGAGACACGAAAGCGUGGGUAGCAAACGGG
rnacentral:rRNA from 1 species